ensembl:lncRNA
GGCUCUCUUCCGCUGACUGCUGGGUCACCUUGUCCAUUAGCCGGGUCAGGGAGAGGUAAUGUUGUUGUUGAAACAUACCUGUCCGCCUGACCCCAGCCGAAAUGUAAACACUGGCUUUGUGAUUCACACACCUGACAUUCCACAGCGCUCAGCCUGGCUCCGACACACGGCUCCGACACACGGCGAUAAGCUCCGAGGCGUUAGUGUGUGUGUGUGUGUGUGUGUGUGUGUGUGUGUGUGUGUGUGUGGUAGAUGGCGACUGUGUGGAGCAGUACCAUCAACUGUAUUCCUCGUGUCCCCGCUCUGUGUUUGUCGUAAACAAAAAGAGGGCAGUUGGAUGCUGCCAAAAUCCCACUCAUCAUUCAGGUCAGUCAGGUAACAUUACUUCCAUUGUUCUGACUCAAUGUGUCCUUCAGUAUUUGUGGAGAAACAUUUUCAGACACUGCAAGAUACAGUUUGUGCCUGUUGUCAAUUCUGCAAACAGUUGACCUGCAACUGAAUAUGUAACUAGUGCCUCCAUGUGUGUAGUUAUAACAUUGAUCACAUCCAAACAGGUGCUCAUGUACAUAGUUUAUUUCUCUUAAAACUGCAUUGUUGGCUAAGGGCUUGUAAGCAAGCAUUUCACGGUAGCAUUUCACCUGUUGUAUUCGGCGCAGGUGACACAUUCAUUUUGAUUUGAUUGGAUUCCACAACCCUACAUGUCAGCACUCGUCGUGUUUUGUGUUGUUUUUGUGGACGCCAGGAACAGUAUCUGCUGUUUAUGCAAAAGCUAAUGGGUUUACAAAUACUCAAAUAGACAGGACUGUGAUGUUGAUGUGGGGUGACCAGGAUGGACUCCAACAAAUCACAGAAGAAGAACGUGAGAGAGAGAAACAAAGAAGGAGAGAGGAGAAGAAAGAAGGAGAGAGGAGAAGAAAGAAGGAGAGAGGAGAAGAAAGAAGGAGAGAGAGAAACAAAGGAGAGAGGCGAAGAAAGAAGGAGAGAGGAGAAGAAAGAAGGAGAGAGGAGAAGAAAGAAGGAGAGAGGAGAAGAAAGAAGGAGAGAGGAGAAGAAAGAAGGAGAGAGAGAAACAAAGGAGAGAGGAGAAGAAAGAAGGAGAGAGAAAGAAGAAAGAAGGAGAGAGGAGAAGAAAGAAGGAGAGAGGAGAAGAAAGAAGGAGAGAGGAGAAGAAAGAAGGAGAGAGAGAAACAAAGGAGAGAGGAGAAGAAAGAAGGAGAGAGGAGAAGAAAGAAGAAGAGAGAGAGAAACAAAGGAGAGAG